ensembl:miRNA MIR496 microRNA 496
GACACGCUGGAAGCAAGCACCACGAUCAGGUACUUGAGAGGAGGUUGUCCAUGAUGUGUUCAUUUUAUUUAUGAUGAGUAUUACAUGGCCAAUCUCCUUUCAGUACUAAAUCCUUCUGG